UGAAAGUUCAAUGGAUCAUGUGGAAGGAAGAUUAGAUUAAGCUCUGGGCUACAAAAUGAAUUGCAGCAGGAAGAAGCAGUGGCUGCCUCUUUAAAGAGAUUUUCUCAUUCUACCUGCGUGUUGAAGAUAUUAAAAUCUAGAUUUGGGCAACUGCAAAGGAAUUAUAGCAGAACAAUAAUUUAUUUAAAUCUCAAGAAGCCACAUGCCAGUUAUCAGACAAUAUAUGCAUAUGUUAAAAAUUGAUGUCGAAUGAUCAGAAUAUAAGGUCAUCUUUUAGACUUGAAAAAUAUGCCUAGAACAAAUGGAGGAAUAAAAACCAUUACUCCUAGCUCCCAAGUCCAGUUUCUCAAGGGUCUACUAAGUACCUGCCUCCCCAAUAGUAGAGAGAAGGGAAUUAUUUCCACAUUUCCUGGGGAAAAGCCUGGUCACUCCCCAGAGGAGGCCAUCCACUUAGAAUUCUGAAGAUGUAUCUGAAGUCCCGACUCUGUGCUGACAACAAGUAAUGAUAAAGAUGGUUUCUAGAGCACUCAGGAAGAGCAAUGCCAAAUUUGACCAGAGAAUUUGUUGGCAAUCUCUUGAUCCUGGCAUCAUCAAAAGGAUGACCGUAUAGCAUGGCAAGGAAAGCACUGGGGAUGGAAGAGUUGGGUGAAGAAGCACCUGAGAGAGGAAGAAUAGUGCACGCAGUGCAGGAAGGAACAGUCCACUUGUACUUCUCUGGGUCCCUGGUCAAGGCUGGAAUUCUAUGAUGUGACUGAACCUGCUAAUAAAUAUACACUGAUUAUCAAGAAAAACAUAGGUAAUUGUUAAAAUCAUGCAGAGAAUCAAAAUAUUUUAAUUUACCUAAUAUAAACUGCUCAUACCCUGACUGAUAUGAGACUCUUAGAGACUAGUCCAAGAUGUCUCAGAAAAACCAUCUUGUGAAGGAAGGAACAAGCGACAUUUUGGAAAUGGUCCAGCUCCUGUGGGAAGCUUCCCCAGGCUGUCACUAUUGUUCACUGUAAAUCUCUAUGAGUAUACUUGCCUCUGGAUGGAUGGGAAAUCAAUAAGGACAAGGACUUUAGGAAUUGAGUGUGACAUCUAUUGUCAUGGGGAAUCUUGAACCAACUCUCUAAGCCAAGAGCAAACACCUCCAAUAGGCAGAUUUGGCACAGUCUGCCCUUUGGCAGUUGCUAAGGAUCUGGGAGGCCGAAGGUUUCUGAGCACUUUCCUUUCCAGAAGCACACCAGUGCUGAGCUAAUCUUUGCACUUGCUCUCUGUUCUAUAUGGAAUAGCAAUUCCUACUCUCUAGCAUUUUGGGGUAAAUGCUACCCCAAAGCCUUCCUCAAUGCCUCAUCCCACUCAGUGUUACAGCUUCCUUGAACUCCUUUAGGACACAGUGCAAACCUUGGACUCCAUCACUGCACUUGGCUCAUCGUGUGGCUACUACGUGUGUGUGUAUUGGUCUUCCCUCUGGACUGAGAGUGAGAGCAAUGUGUGUGUCCUACUUAUUUGUAGUAUCUCUUGCAUCUGGUUUCAUGCCUGCCACAAAUUUACUGCAAAGUAAGGAUGUAUAAAACUGAAUAGAAAGACAGUAGCCACUCAUUAAUGUUGAGUGAAUGUUGACUGAAUCUUUAUUUACCUCUAUUUUAUUUCUUUCCCUAGAGCAUUCAAGGCAUAACAAAUGCAUCGGCAAAUGCCAAACAAGUCAGUUAGGUCCCAUGAUUGUCCACAUUCUAUGGAUGAAGAAAACAAUGGGUGAAAAAAAAAAAAAAACAGGAUUCACUGAGAUUCUUUAACCUGCCGAAGGUCGUACAAUUAAGGAACAAAUAUAUAUUUGUAUAAAUUUAAUCCAUUUAUUGUUUGCCUGGAGAAAAGUGCACUGAUGUGAGCUACGCUUUGUAAAUGGGAAAUGGGUUAAGGAGUCCAAGUGCAGUUUUGUUACAUGGAUAUAUUGCCUAGUGGUGAAGUCUGGGAUUUAGUGUAACCAUCACCCAAAUAAUGUGCCUUGUAUCCAUUAAAUAACUUUUUAUCCCUCGCCCUCCUCCCACCCACCCACC
rnacentral:lncRNA from 10 species